rnacentral:rRNA from 1 species
GAUUCUGGCUCAGGACGAACGCUGGCGGCGUGCUUAACACAUGCAAGUCGAACGGGGAUACUGUUGGAAGUCCUUCGGGGUGGAAGAUAGUAUUCGAGUGGCGGACGGGUGAGUAACGCGUGAGCAAUCUGUCCCAGACAGGGGGAUAACACUUGGAAACAGGUGCUAAUACCGCAUAAGACCACAGCGUCACAUGGCGCAGGGGUAAAAGGAGCGAUCCGGUUUGGGGUGAGCUCGCGUCCGAUUAGCCAGUUGGCGGGGUAACGGCCCACCAAAGCGACGAUCGGUAGCCGACCUGAGAGGGUGAUCGGCCACAUUGGAACUGAGAGACGGUCCAAACUCCUACGGGAGGCAGCAGUGGGGAAUAUUGGGCAAUGGGCGAAAGCCCUGACCCAGCAACGCCGCGUGAGUGAAGAAGGCCUUCGGGUUGUAAAGCUCUGUUAUAGGGGACGAAGGAAGUGACGGUACCCUAUAAGGAAGCCCCGGCUAACUACGUGCCAGCAGCCGC